ensembl:lncRNA
GCGUAGUUGUCUUAGCAAAGGAAGAGACGGGACAGAACUAUACUUUAGAGUGUUUCUGAGUAAACUAAGUAAAGAAAAAAAAACUUUUUAAUGAUUUUUCUAGUUUUGUUAAUCUGGGUAACUUGAUUCACAGAUAUUUAAAGUUACAUUUGGCUACAUUGUAUUAGAUUGUACAAUGAAACUAAGCAAGACAAACCUGAUCUCGCUCUUCACACUGAUUCUGGUAUUUCACACCAUAGCUGUACAAGCAGAAGCUUCUCAUGAUGAUGAUGAUGAUAAUGAUGAGGCUCUGAGGAUCCUGGUUGUGGGAGUCAGAGGUCAGUCCAGAUUCAGUGCUGCAGAUCUUCUGUCAGGAAGGAAAGACGGAGGACAGGAGGACAGAGAGAUUGUAAAGACUCCAGUAAUUACAGACGGGGCUCGUAGAAUGAUGCUGGUCACUGGACCAAACCUCUGUGAGGAGGACACAGAGAGACAGACCUUCACAACAGCGCUGUUUCUCUCGUCUCCUGGACCUCACGCCGUUCUAAUGGUCCUGAAUCUGGAAGAUCAACAAUCACAACAGUGUGAUAUUGAGAAACGAGCCCAGGAGCUGCUGGGAGCAGAAGUCCUGCAGUACUGCAUUGUUCUUCUGCUCCAAAAUCACCAGGAACCUUUGACAGGAGCCUCCAGAGGGAUUGCUGGAGAAAUGAUCAACGCAUGUGGAGGAAGAUUUCACAUCAUAAGAGACUCUGAACCAAAACCUGCUCAAAGAACAACUCUUAUAGCAGAAAUACACAAGUUAGUUUGGUUCAAUGAUCACAGAUUUCACUCAGUAUUGAGACAACUGUUAGAAGCUGAAAAACUGGAGCUUUUACAAAGGCUAAAAGAAAUAGAUGGCAAACUUGGAAAAAGUAAGGUCUCAUCUGCAAUGUGUGACAGUUUAGGUGUGGUCGGAUGGAGUCUGAUAAUUUCACUGAUUGCUCUUGUUUUGGCUACUGAACAGAAGCGCACAGUGUUAAUUUUAGUUGCAACUUUAGCUGGACUCGUGACAUUUAUGUCAUCUUUAAGAAACACUCUAAAUUCACAUGUUGCUUUUUCACUAAAUUUGGCUCUGUGCUCCACAGUUGCGGCAGCCCUUAUAAACUAUCUACCAGUGUGCAAGUCAAAUGAUACAGAAAAAAAAGUUACAGAUUACAUUUUUUUUACACUGACAGUAGGUUUAGGAGUGACCCUUGGAUCAAUCGCAAGCAUAAGGACUUUGUCUGAUGUUUUCACUGCAUGCUGUGCUGCUUUUGGAGUCACGAUUGGAGCUUAUGAAUUCAUAAAUUUAUCAUUCGAGCCCCAAAAACUAAAUUUCCAAGAAUUACUCCAGUUAUUUCUGUUUUGUGCAGUAGGUGCUGAACUCACAGUGUUGUGUGUGAUUGUGCUCAGUGCACUGUUUGGAGUGAAACUAACAAUAUUUCUGCUUAUAAUAGUGAUCAGAAUAGCAAAGUCCAUGAAGAAAACUUUAAUUAACCUCCUCCUUUUGUGA